UCCAUAUUUCUCCAGCAAAGGCUAUGACCAUGAUUUCCUCUCCAAUAGCAAUAUCAGACCAUACUAGCAAAAGUUCCAAAAUAUUAUUUAUACUCUUGUUGAUUAUUUCCUUGUACAAAGUAGUCCUCCAACGGCUAUAUAAUUUUUUACCAUAUAAACACAUUGUAAUAUAUGACUAUAUACAAAGAGAAGGCUCUCAACAUUCUCACAGUGUUAGAGACAUUUUUACAAACACCAAGUGCUCAUUUUCUUCAUGAUACAGAGUUAACACACCCUAGAUGCACCUAUCAAUGUGGGAGCUACCUUACAGUAACCCACGAUCGAGGUUUAUUGUCUUAAGGAAAAGAGGAAUAAAUAGUCAAAAGCCUUACACUGCACAUCGACCAAUAUGACUUUUAUUUUUAUUUUUUUUUUAGUUUUUAAUUUUUACAUCAAAACGCGUCACUCAAAAUGCGUAUGAUCUUAUUCCCCCUCCCCCGCCCAAAACCCGCCCCUUCUUCCCUCUCUUUCUGUGCAAAUCUCUCCCCCUCUCCCCAAGCUUCUCCCCUCCCCCUCCCCCCCAACCCGACCCAUGCAUUUGGAUUUCAAAGCUGCCCGGUAAGCUUCUGACCGAUACCCUAGAUCUAUAUUUUGUUUAUGUACAUAUUUAUGUUACCAAUUCUAAGCUAUCUCCUUCAAAAAGGAUACAAGUGGGUUUCAAAACCACCCAUGCAUCUAGGUCUCAAAGCCACCUGGGAGAAGUAAGACGUCAAUUUUUCAUAUGAGCAGAUAUACUUCAAUUGAUAGAGGAGAAAAUUAUGAUAAAAGAUAAUACAAUUUGAAAGAGGAAGGAUGAUGUAUUUCUACUCAUUCAUCCAAUUCCUAUGUUCACAAGGGGCGCGAGACUGAAGCUUGGAAAAAAGAAGAUAAACUAACUAAGAGAGAGAAUGAUCUUCACAAGCUUGGGGAUGACCUUCAAAAGCAUAUUGUAGAAAAUAGAUGUGCACGUGUAUUAUUGUGUCUAUACUGGUUUUAUCUAUUGUAAUAAUUUUUGCUUGGUUCAGACUAUAAAUGUUAUUGUUAAAUGGAUUAUUCAGAUCAUAAUUGUAAUGUUAUAUUCCUAAUCAUUAUGGAUGUGUGCUUGGUCAGAUUUGACUAUAGCACUAGAUGUUA